CUGUGAGUGCUGGUGGACUGUGGAUGACUAAGUUUGGCAGUGCUACCUGCAGGCUGUUUUUCCUUUUAUGGAGGAUUUGCAAGAGCACAGCGGAGAGAGGCGCUCUGAGGAGAAUUGAAACAAUCUACCCUGACUUGAUGUUUCAGGAACUGUGUUCCAAGGGUGGAGUCGGGGAUGGACCGAGAGGAUGGACAAGAACGAGGCAGAGGCAGAGAGGACGAACAAUGAGGGGGAGGUUUCGGGUGGAGAGGGGAGAGAGUACGCAGUCUCGCUGGGAGUGGCCUGGUGAAUGAGAGUGAAUGAUGAAGUCUGAGUAAGUGUGUGUGUCUGUACGAGAGUGUCCCCGUAUGAGAGAGUGCAUGUGUUCACCGGCCCGGAGCGUGAGGAUAACUUGUAUCUUCUUUUUCUGUUCUGGGUGUCCCUGUCUCUGUGGGAGUUGGACGGCCCUGGCACAAACCGUUCGCUUUCUGGUCUGGGUGCUCCAUGCCCCCACAUUCCUGUGUGGGUACUUAGUUUCCAUUUGUGUAUCUCUCUUCGAAUGCCUCAGCUGAAAGGACACGUUUCACAUGGCCUUUCGUGAAGAUUGUCUUUCUCCUUUUGGGGACACAGGAUUGAGGCAUCUGAAUAUGGACUUCCGCGGCAAGCGUCCAAGCAAGUCCUUUUAUUUGCUGUUCAGUACCGGUUGGCUGCUCUCCCUUCUCCUCUAAUCCCCGCCCCCCCAACCCCAGCUCAGCAACUGUCAACUGCACUUCCCUCCUCUCUAGCCCACCUCAGCUCCUGGCUGGCUUCCUCAUUUUGCUUGGACCCGUGAAGGGGCUCCCCAUUUCCAAGGGAGGAAGUUUGGACCAGCGAAUGGGAGUCAUAGGGGAUUUAUUGAGCGUUUGCUGUGCGCGAAGCACUGUGCUAAGUACGAUAGAGUGAACAGACAUAAUCCCCACCCUCAAGGAGUUUACUCCCCACCAACCCGGCCCAAACCUACACACCUAAGCGGCCAAGGUACCCCUUGUUUUACUGUCCAUCUUCCUCCUGGUUCCCAGCGGCUGUGACCACACUGCCCGACCCUCAAGAGAAAAAACAUCUGACUCCCUUCCAAGGGGCAGUGCCCAACCGGCAGUUAGGGUCCAUCCAUCCAGAUGCACGUCCACUUCUCCAGUCUCUCCUGUUCAAGAGACCCAGCUGUUUUUAGAUUCAGGUACAAGUGCUUUCGGACCAUCUAUCCGGCCUCCGAUGUUGGGACUACUGAACAGCACACAGCCCUUCUGCCCUCCGAUUCCCCAACAAGGAGUGAACAGACUCCCAGUCCAGGAACAGAGACCAGGAUUCCAGUUCUGGUUCUGCCACUGAUUAGCCGUGUGAUCUUGGCAGUGACAUCAUCACCACACUUCAAGGAGAGGAAUCAUGGAGUUUCUGGACCAACAAGGACAGGAGCAUAAUGUUGAUUUCUGACCUCCGCUGGCCUUUACUAAUUAUUCUCUUGAAUCCUCCCAACUCCAAUGAUCCGAAUGAGUCUGCAGUCACUGUGCCAGACUCGCGGCAUUUCCCAGGAUCGGCCUCGGGGAGGAACUCUGGGUAGCUUUGGUCUUGAGACGCUUCUGUUCCUCACAAAAGACCCCAGGAAGGACCUCUGCUUUUGUAGUUUGAAUUGAAGGGUUCCACGAGUGUCUUUUUGGAGGUUUUGUUUUACUUUUCUCUAGGUUUUUGUAAGAGAGCAGGAACGAUCGCCCCACACCCACCUAACCUUACUCCACAGUCGACGAUGGUUUAGGAAAAAUGGAGGAGGACCUAGCGAUGGCAGCCGCUGUUGAGAUCCUACAGAGAUAGUCUGUGCCGUGGCCACCAGCGUGGACCCAUUAUUCUUGCCAGUCAUUUUGCAGCGUAUGUUUCUGGGCAUGGAGAACCGGGCAAGAGGGUAUGAAUGGUUCAGGGCUAAUCAACACUGCUACAGCAGAGCCAAACCAAGCAAUAAUCUGCUGGUAAAAUGGAGUUAUCCCCAUCCCCCAAACCUAAAAUACCGUGCUGUGAAAUCUAGAUAGCUCCAUUCUGGUCUCUUGAUGAAGAUCAGGCAGCAGUGCUACCUGACAACACCCCUGGGGUCUGAUAUAACCUAAUUAACAUAAGGUUUGGUACAGAGUAGGUACUUAACAACAAAUAUCACGAGUAUAAUUAUUAUUAGGGAUGCUAGAGGCCAGGGAUCAGAGAGUUGCCCUAAAAUAUUUUCAUAGGUAUAGUGUUCCAAAAAUUGUCCCUGACACUCACUCAACAGGGAUGCUACCCCGCCAUCUCAACAUCAUCAUCGUCAAAUUUACAGGGUGGUCGUCCCCUCUGGACCGUAAACGCCUUGUG